UUUAUGGAGAGUUUGAUCCUGGCUCAGGAUGAACGCUGGCGGCGUGCCUAAUACAUGCAAGUCGAGCGAACGGACGAGAAGCUUGCUUCUCUGAUGUUAGCGGCGGACGGGUGAGUAACACGUGGAUAACCUACCUAUAAGACUGGGAUAACUUCGGGAAACCGGAGCUAAUACCGGAUAAUAUUUUGAACCGCAUGGUUCAAAAGUGAAAGACGGUCUUGCUGUCACUUAUAGAUGGAUCCGCGCUGCAUUAGCUAGUUGGUAAGGUAACGGCUUACCAAGGCAACGAUGCAUAGCCGACCUGAGAGGGUGAUCGGCCACACUGGAACUGAGACACGGUCCAGACUCCUACGGGAGGCAGCAGUAGGGAAUCUUCCGCAAUGGGCGAAAGCCUGACGGAGCAACGCCGCGUGAGUGAUGAAGGUCUUCGGAUCGUAAAACUCUGUUAUUAGGGAAGAACAUAUGUGUAAGUAACUGUGCACAUCUUGACGGUACCUAAUCAGAAAGCCACGGCUAACUACGUGCCAGCAGCCGCGGUAAUACGUAGGUGGCAAGCGUUAUCCGGAAUUAUUGGGCGUAAAGCGCGCGUAGGCGGUUUUUUAAGUCUGAUGUGAAAGCCCACGGCUCAACCGUGGAGGGUCAUUGGAAACUGGAAAACUUGAGUGCAGAAGAGGAAAGUGGAAUUCCAUGUGUAGCGGUGAAAUGCGCAGAGAUAUGGAGGAACACCAGUGGCGAAGGCGACUUUCUGGUCUGUAACUGACGCUGAUGUGCGAAAGCGUGGGGAUCAAACAGGAUUAGAUACCCUGGUAGUCCACGCCGUAAACGAUGAGUGCUAAGUGUUAGGGGGUUUCCGCCCCUUAGUGCUGCAGCUAACGCAUUAAGCACUCCGCCUGGGGAGUACGACCGCAAGGUUGAAACUCAAAGGAAUUGACGGGGACCCGCACAAGCGGUGGAGCAUGUGGUUUAAUUCGAAGCAACGCGAAGAACCUUACCAAAUCUUGACAUCCUUUGACAACUCUAGAGAUAGAGCCUUCCUCUUCGGGGGACAAAGUGACAGGUGGUGCAUGGUUGUCGUCAGCUCGUGUCGUGAGAUGUUGGGUUAAGUCCCGCAACGAGCGCAACCCUUAAGCUUAGUUGCCAUCAUUAAGUUGGGCACUCUAAGUUGACUGCCGGUGACAAACCGGAGGAAGGUGGGGAUGACGUCAAAUCAUCAUGCCCCUUAUGAUUUGGGCUACACACGUGCUACAAUGGACAAUACAAAGGGCAGCGAAACCGCGAGGUCAAGCAAAUCCCAUAAAGUUGUUCUCAGUUCGGAUUGUAGUCUGCAACUCGACUACAUGAAGCUGGAAUCGCUAGUAAUCGUAGAUCAGCAUGCUACGGUGAAUACGUUCCCGGGUCUUGUACACACCGCCCGUCACACCACGAGAGUUUGUAACACCCGAAGCCGGUGGAGUAACCUUUUAGGAGCUAGCCGUCGAAGGUGGGACAAAUGAUUGGGGUGAAGUCGUAACAAGGUAGCCGUAUCGGAAGGUGCGGCUGGAUCACCUCCUUUCU
rnacentral:rRNA from 1 species